AAAAGGAAAAGAAAAAGAAAGAAAUUAUUUAUUUCCCUCUGUUCCCUCCAUUCCCCCGAAGGGAACUGCCCUGAACUGAGGCUGUCUCCGCACCAGCAGACAUCAGAAGAGAGAACAGAGACUCCCUCCUGCUGCUGGGAAGCAACUGUCAACCCAGAACCACGGAAAUCCACUGAGGAAAAGACAUUUUUAUCAACUAAAUCAGUACAUUUCCAGACAAAGAAAAUCUGAGCUGUUCCGUCACCUAUUUUUCCAUGCCAGGGAAAAUUCUGGAGGCUGAGAUUCAAGCAGAAGCUGUGUGCAAACUGGCUACGCAGAAUCAGGAUGGUGACAUGGUGACAGGGUUAUGUGUGACUGAACAAGGCAGAACCAGAAUACACCACCGAACAGCAUGCAGGUGCCCCUCAGUGUCCCUGGGGGACUGGAUACAGGACCCCUCGGAUAUCAAAAUCCUGAGAUGCUCGAGUCUCUGACAGGAAAUGGCAUAGGAUUUGCAUAUAAACUACACACAUCCUCCUGUAUACUUUUCUUUCUUGAGACGGAGUUUCGCUCUUUUGCCCAGGCUGGAGUGAAGUGGCACAACCUCGCCUCACUGCAACCUCCGCCUCCCAGAUUCAAGCAAUUCUCCUGCCUCAGCCUCCCAAGCAGCUGGGAUUACAGGCACACGCCACCAUGCCUGGCUAAUUUUUGUAUUUUUAGUAGAGAUGGGGUGUCACCAUGUUGGCCAGGCUGGUAUUGAACUCCUGACCUCCGGUGAUCCACCCGCUUUGGCCUCCCGUAUUGCUGGGAUUACAGACGUGAGCCACUGUGCCCGGCCCCUCCUGUAUACUUUAAAUCACCUCUAGAUUACUUACGAUUCCUGGUACGACGGAAAUGCUGUGUCUGUCACUGUUAUACUACAUCGUCUUUUGUUUAUUUUUUAUUGUUGUAUUGUUAUUUUUAUGGUUGAAUCUGCAGAUGUGGAGCCCGCAAAUACAGGGGCCACCAUAAACUGGGGGGUAAACGACAGCCAAAGUGACGGGGCCCUGAAGUCCUCGCACUGUGCAGCCAUCAGGGCUCCCAGAGAGGCAGAACCAGCAGGAUGUGUGUGUACAGACAGUGCGAGCAAGAGUGAGAUUAUACAUAUUUAGAGAAACAAACAGAGAGAGAAAGAUGGAGAGACACACUGAGACACAGGGAGAUGACAGACACUGAUUUUAAUGAACUGACUCAUGUGACUGAGGGAGCUAAGUCUAAAAUCUGAAGUCCAGGUCAGCAGGCUGGAGAUCCCAGCAGGAGCUGGUGCUGCAGCUUGAGUCUCCAUCUGGGUCAGAAUCCUCUCUUCCUUAAGAGAUCUUAGAUUUCUGCUCUUGUGGCCUUCGACUGAUUGGGUAAGGCCCACCCACGCUGUGUCGAAGUCCUUCGACUGAUUGGGUAAGGCCCACCCACGCUGUGGCGAAGUCCUUCGACUGAUUGGGUAAGGCCCACCCACGCUGUGGCGAAGUCCUUCGACUGAUUGGGUAAGGCCCACCCACACUGUGGUGGGAGAUCUCCUGUACUCAACGUCUACUGAUUUAAAUGUUAAUCACACAUAAAAAAUAUCUUCACAGAAACAUCCAAACUGGAGUUUGACCAAACGAGGGUACCAGGGCCCAGACAAGUGGACGCAGAGAAUUCACCAUCACACAUUAUUUGGGAGGAAGAUAGUGACUCUGAUUAACCUCAAACCCAGAGGGCUAGAAAUGUCCACUGUGGUGCCAGGGCGACCACCAACAGUUAGUAAACGGCAAAAAGCUAAAUGACAAAGAACAUAAACCAGAAGAGCAAAAAACAGAGGAAAAAAUAGACAAGAAGUGAGAGACAAAGAGCAGGGUGAAGUAGACAAAUCCAAACAGUGGGCCACAGCACGUGCUCAGCAGCCAAACGCUCUCAUUCAAGACGGCAAACAAGUACGCAAGAAACCUGUCCGGGGGCGUCCACAAGAAACACAUCUAAAUCACUAAGGAUGGAAAAGCUGAAGCUAACCGGAGGAAAAACAACACAUCAGGCAAACACUAAAUAAAAGAAAGUUAGCAUCACUGUGUAAUAAACAAAGCAGACACCAAGGCAGCGGGCAAUGCUGGAGAUAAAGAGCGAGUCCAUCGCGUUAGGAGAUUCAGUUUCCCAAAACAAAGAGACGAACCUCAUGUCCUAUGCCCCUAAGAACACGUCUCCAGAACUGGCAAAGCUACAGGAGGAACAGAUUAGUCUGUUGUCAGCAGAUUUCUAACACCUCCCUCAGGGAGUGGCAGGUCAGCAGGAUGUAGAAUGAACACGCGACGUAUACUUCUAUCUGAUGGAUCUGUACAAACACUGAUUCCAGCAACUGCAGAGAGCACAUUCUUUUCAAGCACUCCACAGUUACGAAGGCUGAUCAUAAGCUGCCACUGAUCAAGUUUCAAAAAUCUGAUCUGAUAAGGACGAAGUUUCCUGGGUAUAAUGCAAUAAAAAAGAAAUCAAUAAUUUUUAAAAUAACUAGAAAACCACCACGUUUGGAAAUUAAGAAACACACUUCUGCAUAACUCAUCGGUCAAAGAAGGAAUGAUAAUGCAAGCAGCAAAUAAUGCCAGGCACAGUACCUCACGCCUGUAAUCUCUGGCUUUGAGAGGCCAAGGAGGGAGCAUUUGCUUGAGGCCCCGGAGUUCAAGACCGGUCCGGCCACACAACUGGCUCUACAUGAGUCUGGCUCUACACACACACACACACACACACACACACACACACACACACACAUAUAUUGUGGGGCGGGGGGCGGUAUAGAUCAGAUGUCACUGUGUUGCCCAGGCUGGUCUAGAACUACUGGACUCCAGUGAUCCUUCCAGCCUUGGCUUCCUGAAGUACUGAGAUUAUAGGCGUGAACCACUGCACCGGGCCUACAAAAAAAUUUUUUUUUAGUUAGCCAGGCCUGCUGGUGUGUGUGAGGUGGCGGGCCUGCUUGAUCCCAGAAGGUCGAGGCUGUGGUGAGCCACUGCACUCCAGCCUGGGUGACAGCGAGACCCUGUCCCCACCAAAAAAAAGGGUGUGGGGGCAUCCCACAAAUGCUACAUAAAAAGACAACAAAAGAAUAUUCGAACAACUUUAUGCCAAUAUGGGAAAAAAUUAGCAAUACCAAUCUAGAAGAAAGGAAAGCUUGAAAGUCCUAAAGCUAUUGAAGAAGCUGAGCUAUAAUUUUAAAAUACUCCCUCAAAAAAACCUCCAGGCCCAAACAGCUCCACUGGCAAGUUCUGCAUAAUAUUCAUGUUAUGAUUUUGAUACCAAAAUCCAGCAUGGACAGAAGAAAGGAACAGCGUGGAACAGAAUCAUCCACCAAGACCCCUGUCAAAAUCCCACACCAAACAUAAACAAACUCAUCCAGCAAGAUACAGAAAGGAUCAUGGCCACCUUGGGCCUACCCCAGAAACACAGACUCAUCUGACUCCAGAGGGAUCAAUCAGUGUAACUUACCACACUGAUUACAGGCAGACAAGCACCCGGUCACCAUGACAGAUGCAGGAAACACAUUUUAAAAAUUCAACAUUCAUUCUUGCUUUUUUUUUUUUUUUUGAGAUGGAGUUUCACUCUUGUCACCCAGGCUGGAGUGCAAUGGUGCAACCUCUGCUCACUGCAACCUCCGCCUCCUGGGUUCAAGUGAUUCUCCUGCUUCAGCCUCCCGAGUAGCUGGGAUUACAGGUGCCUGCCACCAUGCCCAGUUAAUUUUUUGUAUUUUUAGUAGAGGCGAGGUUUCAUCAUGUUGGCCGGGCUGGUGUCGAACUCCUGACCUCAGGUGAUCCACCCGCCUCAGCCUCCCAAAGUGCUGGGAUUACAGGCAUGAACCACUGCGCCUGGCCCAUUCUUGCUUUUACAAAGUAACAGAGGGCUCAUUCCAUUUCUCACCAAGAUGGUCUGCUUUAUCUGUGGCCAAGAGAGACUGAAGUUACCUGGAGAGGAGGAAGCCUCCUCCUGGCUUGAGGUCAUAUUCUGAAAUAUUGGGGAUCCCGUACCCCUCUUCUCUGGAUGAUGACACACUCAUCAUGCCCUUAACCCCUUCCCAUAUUCUGAAAUAUUGGGGCUCCCGUACCCCUCUUCUCUGGAUGAUGACACACUCAUCAUGCCCUUACCCCCUUCCCAUAUUCUGAAAUACUGGGGCUCCCGUACCCCUCUUCUCUGGAUGAUGACACACUCAUCAUGCCCUUACCCCCUUCCCAUUCAGGAGUCCUGCCUUCCUAUCACAGAAGAUUACCAUCCAUCCUAUGUCAAAUCCUCCAGAUGUACCCCUCCACAGGCUGGGCAACUUUGGGCAAGUUACUUAAAUUCUCUGAACCUGUUUACAUGUGUGUAAAAGGGAAGCAACACCACCAGUCCUAAAAGCUGUUGUGCAGAGAAGUUUCUCCACAUCAAGUGCUUAGAAUAAUGCCUGGGACAGCACGGGACCUUCGUAAGUAAUACGUGUUAUUGUCGUCACGUACACAACCCUAGACCCUCCUGUAACCACAGAGGUGGCACCUGAAUCCCAUUUACUGGCAGAUGGAUGGAGGCUUCAGGUCAGUGACUCCAGUGCCACCAGGCCAGGGAAGAAGCCAGAGUGAAUAUCUGUCAGGCCCCAAAGCCAUGCUCCACACCCCCAGCACUGCCCCCACCCCUGCCCUAUAAGCUGGCCUUUUAGACACCUCGCUCCAAGGCUCCAAAGAACUGACAGGAAAACAGCUGGGCACGGUGGCUCACUCCUGUAAUCCCAGCACUUUGAGAGGCCGAAGUGGGCAGAUCACCAGAGGUCAGGAGUUCAAGACCAGCCUGGCCAACAUGGCAAAACCCUGUCUCUACUAAAAAUACAAAAAUUAGCCAGGCCUGGUGGUGGACGCCUGUAAUCCCAGAGACUCGGGAGGCUGGGGCAGGAGAAUUGCUUGAACCCAGAAGAUGGAGGUUGCAGUGAGCCGAGAUUGCGCCACUGCACUCCAGCCUGGGUGACAAGAGUGAAACUGCGUCUCAAAAAAAAGAACUGAUAGGAUUGAAACAUUUUCUUCCUAUGAAUUAAUAGCUUACACGUUAAAGCAUGAUUUUUCUGCAGAAAAAAGAUGAUCUGAACGUGGUUUUGAAAUCCUCCCAUCUGAAGGGGUAGAGCAGCUGGGGGCUAAGCACUGCAAAGGCCUCGGGGCCGGGCCCUGUGAGAGGAGCCCCUGAGACCCGCAUCCCGGACUCCGGGGUUAAGGCUGAUGCCCUCCAACCCUGCAUGCCACUGAAGAUCCCAGAACGUUCUGACAAGCUGAGCCAUGCGCUCUGCCAUUACAAGUGCACGAUGGCAGUCUUUUCCAAAAUACUCAAAACGAGUCAUGACAACGAUUAGGAUUUUCCCUUCCCUGUCAGACACCGUGGUCCUGCCAGUGUCUACGGGAGAUAUGCUAAGCCAGAGACCAUGGUCAAACUGCCCUGCCUCGAAGCCUGGCAGGGUGACGGUGACCGUGGGGCCCACCACCCAGCACACACAGGGCCGCGGCCCCGGGGCGCCGCUCACCAAGGUGGCCAUAGCCCACCACGUGCUUGGCGUGCGGGCCGAGGCGGGCGCGCAGGUCAGUCACGAUGUCGUAGAGCCGCUCCACAGGGAGGGAG
rnacentral:lncRNA from 10 species